rnacentral:rRNA from 1 species
AAUCCAUAGGUUAAUGAGGCGAACCGGGGGAACUGAAACAUCUAAGUACCCCGAGGAAAAGAAAUCAACCGAGAUUCCCCCAGUAGCGGCGAGCGAACGGGGAGGAGCCCAGAGCCUGAAUCAGCAUGUGUGUUAGUGGAAGCGUCUGGAAAGGCGCGCGAUACAGGGUGACAGCCCCGUACACAAAAGCGCAUGUGCUGUGAGCUCGAUGAGUAGGGCGGGACACGUGGUAUCCUGUCUGAAUAUGGGGGGACCAUCCUCCAAGGCUAAAUACUCCUGACUGACCGAUAGUGAACCAGUACCGUGAGGGAAAGGCGAAAAGAACCCCGGCGAGGGGAGUGAAAAAGAACCUGAAACCGUGUACGUACAAGCAGUGGGAGCACCCUUUGGGUGUGACUGCGUACCUUUUGUAUAAUGGGUCAGCGACUUAUAUUCUGUAGCAAGGUUAACCGAAUAGGGGAGCCGGAGGGAAACCGAGUCUUAAUUGGGCGUUAAGUUGCAGGGUAUAGACCCGAAACCCGGU